rnacentral:lncRNA from 1 species
GUGAAAACUAAAAUACACAGAGCUCCUGGGAUCAAGUUGACUCAUGACAGAGAGAAGAGAACACAGCUUGAAUCAGGAAACAACAUAGCACCAUGUACAACCUUCAUCCUGUGCCUGCCAUUUCAGGACAUGCAUUGCUGUGAAUACUAAGGAUGUGAAAACAUCUUUGAGCUUCUCUCUCUCUGUAUUCAUUUGUUGAGACCUCAUUCAGUAACCUAAUGGAGAAGGUGGACUUUUCUACACUAAGCCAGUGAAGGUUUUAGUUAUUUAUAGAGUCUAUGACGUGGCACAGUAUCCAUGUGUAUCAGGAAAGUCACAGCAGCUCUGCCAGACCUCUUUGAGAUGCUUGACAUACAAUUGCUUUAGCAUUUCUGUUACUUGAGGGAAGCAUUUUCAGCUUUUGCUGGAGGUAUUUCCCAUUACUGAAGUGCUUGCCAAUUAAGAACUAGACUCCUUUCCACUGCCAUCACCAAGCUGAAUAUCUUUAAAUAACCUGAACAAAGCAGGACAUGGCUCCCCUCCCUCAUCUCCAUCAAUCAUGGGAAGACUUACUUGAAGAAUCACAAGACGCUUCUAUCAUGUGCUAUACAGCCAAGCUGGAUGUGAACUUGCAUGAGAAAUUUCACAGCUUGGUUUCCAAAUAUUCAGAAGCUCUACGGGGAUCUGUUGCACCUGUUCCCACACACAAGUAAGGUUUUUCACAUUUUUCUGGUAAAAUUAUAUAUUUAUUGAAUGGGAAAAAACGAUUUUUAUUGUAGAAAAAUCUUACCUCCUUCAGAGGAUAAUAGAUUUUCUGCCAGUUGGGCCUUAUGGUUUGCAAAAGAUAAAGUCAGAAAUAGAAUCAGCUCCUUU